UACAGAGGUCUCAAGCGUUGUUCGGAUUCAUUGGGCGUAAAGGGUGCGUAGGCGGCGCGGUAAGUCGGGUGUGAAAUCUCGGAGCUUAACUCCGAAACUGCAUUCGAUACUGCCGUGCUUGAGGACUGGAGAGGAGACUGGAAUUUACGGUGUAGUGGUGAAAUGCGUAGAGAUCCGGAGGAACACCAGUGGCGAAGGCGGCCGCCUGGACCUGACCUGACGCUGAGGCGCGAAGGCGUGGGGAGCGAACGGG
rnacentral:rRNA from 1 species